CUGAGCAACUGGAGAAGAUGACAGCCCAGAAGACCAGAACUUGCCUUGAAUGCAGGAAGAGGCAAUGCCACUCUAAGAAACAUGAACAACCCUGGAAGACGAUCAUAUCCUUUCUCAAUAUUAUAGACUGAACUGUGUCUUCCUUGCAAACUCACAUAUUGAAGUCCUAAUCCCCCAGUACUUCAGAAUAUGACAGUAUUGGUACAGAGUGUCUUUAAAGAGGUGUUGCUUUAUUCCUGAGUGUUGAGUGGAUGCUUCUAGGGUGGCACUGAAACUCUCUCUGUGCACACCCUGGUGACAAAUGCAGGUGCACGCAGGGCAAUGUUCUUCAUCCUGAUGACAGUGCACCCAGCCUGCUGCUGACAUGACUUGAGGAAGCUUCAGUCCAGAGGCUGAGGGACCCACACCGGGGCUCCAGCAGCUCACAGUGGGUGGACAGGUCACUGCUGCAGCACCUGAGAGUGGGCAGGGUGGAGAGGCAGCGAGUCAGGGCUACGAUGGCGGAAGGUGGAGGCGACCUCCCUCUGGGCUUCGAAUCCAGCCCUCCCACCUGGCAGUCAUGGAGCCUCACCAAGCAGUUUAACUCCCAAGUCCCAGAUCCCAUCUGUGAAGCCAGGUGGCCUCGGGCCACAGCCUCUCACAGGACCCCUGGGAAUCACCCGCAUCUAUCGCUGUUUACCCACCGGGACCCACCUCCCAGGCUACCUGGGAAAAGCCACGGGAUUUAUGUGCAUCUGGAGAGGCAGCUCCACCUUCCUCACAUGAGCGGUCACUAAUGAUUUGACUUUGUCAGCCUGCAAGGUGGAAAGGAGAUUUACUCUCCACAGACUGGACAGUCCUUAGCUUUGCGCUUGUCACAUAAAUGGCAUUUAAUAAAUGCUCCCUGGACUCAGCACUGCUCCUGAAGGCCUGUAUUGUGGUCAAAUAUCGUUUCUUCUGCAGAUGAGCUUAUUCUUCUCCUCUCAGGAUCAAUCCUUUCGCCUUCACCGAGGCAUCUGACACUAGCAUUUGGAGGAACACCCAUUCCUUCCUCUUCUCUCAGCUGCCUUUGGAAAUUACCAUCCCAAACGUGACUCCCCACAGAGUGGCACUCACUGAUCACGGGUCUUAACUUUAAAAGGUUAAAAAUAAGUCAAGGCUUAAGGUAAAUUAACAGGAGGCGUGGAUGUCUGAGCAAUGUGGUGAACUGAGUCACAGGACUGCCGGGAGGUUCACAGCUGGGACUUUCCAGGCCUCCCGAACGCAGAGCGCCUGAAGACCUCAGUGGGGCCACAGAGUGUGUUUCAGGUGUGAUUUGGGGUCAUUUAUGCCAAUUUUAUUCACUUUUAUUUUCAUCUGGUUUUCUUUCUAUAUAUUACAUCAUGCAUGGCACGUUUAUAGUCAUCCGUAUGACGUCUGUCUCACACAGUGAGUAAAGGAGUACAGCUGUACUUUUCACUCAGCAAAAUAGGAAAGAAUAAAGAUGAGCUUGAAACUCCUUUGGAAUCACUACAUUAUCUGAUACUUAGCAAAGGCAAUCUGUGAAUAACACACACAUGUACACACAUGAUACAUAUUCAUACACAGACACACAAACACGUCUGCUCAUAUGUGUAUACAUACAUAUAUAGACACAGGCACAUAUGCCCUGAAGGUCUGCACGGUGGAAAAUACUAGAAAUGUUCAUUUCUAAUUCCUGCCAAGGGCUGAAAACCUGUGUGUCUGAAAAGUCACUUGGCUUCUGUAACCAGAGUUACCAAAUUAAAAAAUUAAAACUAUCCAAGUGUAGAGCCACUAGAAUUUUGUGUCAACAUUAUUUUUUGAACCACCAAACUUUUAUGAU
rnacentral:lncRNA from 10 species